rnacentral:rRNA from 1 species
GUGGGGAAUUUUGGACAAUGGGCGCAAGCCUGAUCCAGCAAUGCCGCGUGCAGGAUGAAGGCCUUCGGGUUGUAAACUGCUUUUGUACGGAGCGAAAAGGCUUCCACUAAUACUGGGGGCUCAUGACGGUACCGUAAGAAUAAGCACCGGCUAACUACGUGCCAGCAGCCGCGGUAAUACGUAGGGUGCAAGCGUUAAUCGGAAUUACUGGGCGUAAAGCGUGCGCAGGCGGUUUUGUAAGACAGGUGUGAAAUCCCCGGGCUUAACCUGGGAACUGCACUUGGGACUGGAAGGCUGGAGUACGGCAGAGGGGGAUGGAAUUCCGCGUGUAGCAGUGAAAUGCGGAGAUAUGCGGAGGAACACCGAUGGCGAAGGCAAUCCCCUGGGCCUGUACUGACGCUCAUGCACGAAAGCGUGGGGAGCAAACAGGAUUAGAAACCCGUGUAGUCC